rnacentral:rRNA from 1 species
GAACGAACGCUGGCGGCAUGCUUAACACAUGCAAGUCGAACGAAGGCCCUAGCUUGCUAGGUGUCCUUAGUGGCGCACGGGUGAGUAACGCGUGGGAACCUGCCCAAGAGCGGGGAACAACCAUUGGAAACGAUGGCUAAUACCGCAUACGCCCUCCGGGGGAAAGGCUUCGGCCACUCAUGGAUGGUCCCGCGUCUGAUUAGCUUGUUGGUAAGGUAACGGCUUACCAAGGCGACGAUCAGUAGCUGGUCUGAGAGGAUGAUCAGCCACACUGGGACUGAGACACGGCCCAGACUCCUACGGGAGGCAGCAGUGGGGAAUAUUGGACAAUGGGGGAAACCCUGAUCCAGCAAUGCCGCGUGAGUGAAGAAGGCCUUAGGGUUGUAAAACUCUUUCAACUGUGAAGAUGAUGACGGUAGCAGUAGAAGAAGCUCCGGCUAACUCCGUGCCAGCAGCCGCGGUAAUACGGAGGGAGCUAGCGUUGUUCGGAAUUACUGGGCGUAAAGAGCACGUAGGUGGCGAAGAUAGUCAGUGGUGAAAGGCCUGGGCUCAACCCAGGAACUGCCAUUGAUACUGCUUUGCUAGAGUCCGGGAGAGGAUAGCGGAAUUUCCAGUGUAGAGGUGAAAUUCGUAGAUAUUGGAAAGAACACCAGUUGCGAAGGCGGCUAUCUGGACCGGUACUGACACUGAGGUGCGAAAGCGUGGGGAGCGAACAGGAUUAGAUACCCUGGUAGUCCACGCCGUAAACGAUGAGUGCUAGUUGUUGGGGUCUUAGACUUCAGUGACGUAGCUAACGCGUUAAGCACUCCGCCUGGGGAGUACGGCCGCAAGGUUAAAACUCAAAGGAAUUGACGGGGGCCCGCACAAGCGGUGGAGCAUGUGGUUUAAUUCGACGCAACGCGCAGAACCUUACCAGCCCUUGACAUACCAAUCGCGAUUUCCAGAGAUGGAUUUCUUCAGUUCGGCUGGAUUGGAUACAGGUGCUGCAUGGCUGCCGUCAGCUCGUGUCGUGAGAUGUUGGGUUAAGUCCCGCAACGAGCGCAACCCUCGCCCUUAGUUACCAUCAUUUAGUUGGGUACUCUAGGGGGACUGCCGGUGACAAGCCGGAGGAAGGUGGGGAUGACGUCAAGUCCUCAUGGCCCUUAUGGGCUGGGCUACACACGUGCUACAAUGGCAAUGACAGUGGGCAGCAACCUCGCGAGAGGAAGCUAAUCUCUAAAAAUUGUCUCAGUUCGGAUUGUUCUCUGCAACUCGAGAGCAUGAAGUCGGAAUCGCUAGUAAUCGCGUAUCAGCAUGACGCGGUGAAUACGUUCCCGGGCCUUGUACUCACCGC